rnacentral:rRNA from 1 species
GUAGGGAAUCUUCCGCAAUGGACGAAAGUCUGACGGAGCAACGCCGCGUGAACGAUGAAGGUCUUCGGAUCGUAAAGUUCUGUUGUUAGGGAAGAACAAGUACCGUGCGAAUAGAGCGGUACCUUGACGGUACCUAACGAGGAAGCCCCGGCUAACUACGUGCCAGCAGCCGCGGUAAUACGUAGGGGGCAAGCGUUGUCCGGAAUUAUUGGGCGUAAAGCGCGCGCAGGCGGUUUCUUAAGUCUGAUGUGAAAGCCCACGGCUCAACCGUGGAGGGUCAUUGGAAACUGGGGAACUUGAGGACAGAAGAGGAGAGUGGAAUUCCACGUGUAGCGGUGAAAUGCGUAGAUAUGUGGAGGAACACCAGUGGCGAAGGCGACUCUCUGGUCUGUUUCUGACGCUGAGGUGCGAAAGCGUGGGUAGCAAACAGGAUUAGAAACCCGGGUAGUCC